rnacentral:siRNA from 1 species
GAAGCAGGUGAAACACUUUCUAA